UGAGAGAGAAAUAUUCUGGACAUCUUUCAUUGGUGGGGAUUUUGCCACCUAUGCUGGAAGUACAAAGCACAUGAACUGCUCUUUGGACCAAGAUAUAUUUUUGAGGCAGGGAUUGUACCACCCGAUUUCUACCACCCUAUUUAAAAAAAAAAAAAGAAAAAAAAAGUGAAGUGGUCUUGGUGCCAGGUCCAUCUAGGGUUAACCCUGCCUGCUGUAAACAUAGCCGAGAAACUGCUAUGUUUACAUUAGGGUUAAUCCAGCCAUUGACAGCCGCUGAAGGCGCUUCCACGCUUCUCACAGUGAUUUUUACAGUGAGAAGACGCCAGCAUCCAUAUGAAAGCAUUGAGAAAUGCUUUCCUGUGGACUGAGUGCGCGCGCGGCUCUUGACGCGCAUGCGCAUUCAGCCGAUGUCGGAAGAGGGAGGAGAGUCCUGGGCGCCGAGGGAGCUCGGUGCUGGAGAAAGGUAAGAAUUUAACCCCUUCCUCCCCCUUUAGCUCGGCGGGAGGGGGGCCAUGAGGGUUGGGGGACCUGUUAACACUAAAGUGCCAGGAAAACGAGUUUGUUUUCUUGUCACUAUAGUGGUCCUUUAAAACAACUUAAGCUAAACUAAGUUUUUGUGGUGCCAGGAGGACCCCGAAGACACUCUUACUUUAGGUUUGAACCCCAAAGUUGGCACAGUUUAACCCGAAAGUUGCCUCCAAAUAUGGCCAGUUUAUUUGUCUAAAUGCUUAUAAAAAGGCAAAUUGAAAAGCAGUGAUUAGAAACCAUUGUAGCAAGCAAGAUUUGUAUAGCAUUGUUCUGUAGUGCCGCUGGUUGCAAAUGGAUAUUAUGUUUUUGUGUACUUUCAGUAAUUUUGUACUGUUGUCAGA